GUAACCAAGCAGCACAUAUACUAAAAUUGGAAUGAUAUGGAGAAGAUUAGCAUGGCCCCUGUGCAAGGAUGACAUGCAAAUUCAUGAAACGUUCCAUAUUUUU
rnacentral:snRNA from 1 species